CCCUUAGAUGUUCUGGGCCGAACGCGCGCUACACUGAUGCAUUCAACGAGUUUCUUCCUGGUCCGAGAGGAAUGGGUAACCUUUUGAAAGUGCAUCGUGAUAGGGAUAGACUAUUGCAAUUAUUGGUCUUCAACGAGGAAUUCCUAGUAGACGUAGUUCAUCAGACUGCAUCGAUUACGUCCCUGCCCUUUGUACACACCGCCCGUCGCUCCUACCGAUUGAAUGCUCAGGUGAGCCAUUCGGACUUUCAUCAUGCUGGUUUCCAGUUUUGAUGAAGGAAAGUCUUGCGAACCUUAUCAUUUAGAGGAAGGAGAAGUCGUAACA
rnacentral:rRNA from 1 species